GAAGCGGCAUGAGCAAUCACAUCUCCAGUUUCCUGAGCUGAGACCAACAGCCUCUGCCUGAUUUAUUGGAGGAGCAAGAGAAUACCAGUUUCUGUGCUAACACGCGGCUGUCACAUCUACUUGCAGACAGCCACUUCUUCCCAGCUGUUUCCCUGCUCUGGCAAGAAGGCACCCUAUUCCAAAAGCCAGUCGGCUGGAGUCUGCUUGGCGCUGCAGGUCAAUUUUGUUUUGAACUGAAUGCUUAGAUAAACACUGAUCACCCCAGGUAGCAGUCUCACAACAUCAAUCUAUUGAUUUUCACUGUAUGGGGUGAAGAAGAAACCACCCAGUCAGGGCUGCAGUUACUCUUCAACCUGGCAGAAUACAUACCCACUGGGCAGAGCUACAAUCAAUGCUUGGAAAUUUUAUCAGCUUCUAUAACCAUCCCACAGACUUUUUUUUCCAUAUUAAUCUUG
ensembl:lncRNA